rnacentral:misc_RNA from 1 species
UCCCUAUUACUAGAGCAGUCUGAAUAGAAAAAUACAACUAUUCACAAGGGUUGCGCUCGUUGAUGGACUUAACCAAACAUCUCACGACACGAGCUGACGACGGCCAUGCAACACCUGUCACCAAGUUCAAUAAAGCACUCUCGUCUUUCGACAAAAUUCUUGGGAUGUCAAACCCUGGUAAGGUUCUUCGUUUAGCAUCGAAUUAAAGAACACGAUCCACCGCUUGUGCUGAUCCCCGUCAAUUCCUUUAUGUUUUAGUCUUGCGACCGUACUCCACAGGCGGGAUACUUAACGCGUUAGCUUCGCUACUGAAGGGGUCGAUACCUCCAACAGCUAGUAUCCAUAGUUUACGGCGUGGACUAC